rnacentral:rRNA from 1 species
GGAGUCCAGUUCAUUUACUUUGAGUAAAUUAGAGUGUUUAAAGCAGCCUCUUUGGGCUUUGAAUACAUUAGCAUGGGAUAAUAGAAUAGGACUUUGGUUCUAGUUUGUUGGUUUGGAGGACUGAAGUAAUGAUUAAUAGGGACAGUUG